rnacentral:tRNA from 1 species
AGCUCAGUUGGUAGAGUACUUCCCUUGAAUAGAAGAAGCCCUGGGUUCGAUCCCCAG